rnacentral:rRNA from 1 species
GAUGAACGCUAGCGGCAGGCUUAAUACAUGCAAGUUGAGGGGCAGCAUGAUAUACGUAAGUAUAUUGAUGGCGACCGGCGGACGGGUGAGUAAAAGGUAGGAGACCUACCUCAUACAGGGGGAUAGCAUAGAGAAAUCUGUGGUAAUACCCCAUGAGGUUAUAUGAAUAGAGGCAUAUAAUCAAAGCAUAAGCGAUUAUGCGGUAUGAGAGGGGCCUACUGACCAUUAGCUAGUUGGUGAGGUAAGGGCUCACCAAGGCGAAGAUGGUUAGGGGUUUUGAGAGAGAGACCCCCCACAUUGGAACUGAGAGACGGUCCAGACUCCUACGGGAGGCAGCAGUAGGGAAUAUUGGGCAAUGGGCGAAAGCCUGACCCAGCCAUGCCGCGUGAAGGAAGACGGCCUUAUGGGUUGUAAACUUCUUUACUACGCGAAUAGAGGUUAGUACGAGAUACUAAUAGGGAAGGUAGUGUAAGUAAAAGCACCGGCUAACUCCGUGCC